rnacentral:lncRNA from 10 species
GGAAAUGGUGCAAUUCACACACCUGCAGAAACUCCAGGUGUGGUUGAGCAUGUGAUGGAUGAUUGAACCAAAGGUUUCCUUUCAAGGGUAGAAGUUUAAAAUAUGGAGAAGAUCAGUGAAAGAGCAGAGCAUAGACGUAUGCACUUGGAAGAAGGGUCAACUUGAAAAACCUGGCCCCUGAGUUUCACCUUUCAAAAUCCUUUUCUCAUUAAAAAGUAAAACCCGAACAAUCCACCAGCAACUCAUGAGCUAGCAGCAGAAAAGAUGACAGAGCUGGGGCUGGCAGAGCGAGGAAUGAAAGAGAGAGAACAGAUCAGUGUUCAGUUUGAAAGAGCCAUAAUUCAGCAGUCUUUCUACAUUACCUCUCAGAAGAAGGAGCCUGCAUGUCUAAAGAGAGAAGUGAAGUUUAAGUACUGGAAAAAAGGAAAGUCUUCAGCCUUGGGAAUGUAAUAACCUGGGGUCAGCUGAGAACCCUGAGGAGGACUGACCCAAUCAGCUGCUGGGAGAAGCAACAUAACUGUUCUGCUGGAGGGAGAAACAAAUUCUAAUCAGAUGUGAACCAACUAUCCAGGGAGCUUCUGUUGUCAUGAGAAAAGGAAGUGCUCUUCCUUUCAACUGGAAAACUAGAAUGUACCACUUUUUUUUUUUUUUUGUUAAUGCUCCCUCUUUUCUUUUUUUAUUAGCUUUGUAAUAAAAAUUUAAUUUAAAAGUUGAUAUGCAAACAAGUGUGUAACAAUCUGAAUAUUUAACAUUGAUAGAUCUAUUUUAGAAAAUUAAAGUGAAUAUAUCUGAGUUUUAGAGUUUAAUGUUUACUGCACACAGGAUGAAACAGAAACUAAACUUUGUUACAUUUUUAAAAAAUUCUUUAACUUCAGUUGGAU